rnacentral:rRNA from 1 species
GUGGAAGUAAAAGUCGUAACAAGGUCUCCGUUGGUGAACCAGCGGAGGGAUCAUUACCGAGUUUACAACUCCCAAACCCCUGUAACAUACCUAUACGUUGCCUCGGCGGAUCAGCCCGCGCCCCGUAAAACGGGACGGCCCGCCCGAGGACCCCUAAACUCUGUUUUUAGUGGAACUUCUGAGUAAAACAAACAAAUAAAUCAAAACUUUCAACAACGGAUCUCUUGGUUCUGGCAUCGAUGAAGAACGCAGCAAAAUGCGAUAAGUAAUGUGAAUUGCAGAAUUCAGUGAAUCAUCGAAUCUUUGAACGCACAUUGCGCCCGCCAGUUUCUGGCGGGCAUGCCUGUUCGAGCGUCAUUUCAACCCUCAAGCUCAGCUUGGUGUUGGGACUCGCGGUAACCCGCGUUCCCCAAAUCGAUUGGCGGUCACGUCGAGCUUCCAUAGCGUAGUAGUCAUACACCUCGUUACUGGUAAUCGUCGCGGCCACGCCGUAAAACCCCAACUUCUGAAUGUUGACCUCGGAUCAGGU